rnacentral:rRNA from 1 species
AUGCACGCUAGCGGCAGGCCUCAUACAUGCAGGUCGAACGCGAUUAAGAGGCUUGCUUCUUAUGAAAGUGGCGCACGGGUGCGUAACGCGUAUGCAACCUACCUUAAUCAGGGGGAUAGCCCGAAGAAAUUCGGAUUAAGACCGCAUAAAAACACAGGAUAGCAUUAUCCAAUGUUCAAAUAUUUAUAGGAUUAAGAUGGGCAUGCGUGUCAUUAGCUAGUUGGCGGGGUAACGGCCCACCAAGGCGACGAUGACUAGGGGAUCUGAGAGGAUGACCCCCCACACUGGUACUGAGACACGGACCAGACUCCUACGGGAGGCAGCAGUAAGGAAUAUUGGUCAAUGGAGGGAACUCUGAACCAGCCAUGCCGCGUGCAGGAAGACAGCCCUCUGGGUCGUAAACUGCUUUUAUUCGGGAAUAAACCUUUCUACGUGUAGGAAGCUGAAUGUACCGAAGGAAUAAGGAUCGGCUAACUCCGUG